rnacentral:rRNA from 1 species
AGCGAACGCUGGCGGCAGGCCUAACACAUGCAAGUCGAGCGCCCAGUAAUGGGAACGGCAGACGGGAUAGUAACACGUGGGAACGUACCUUUCAGUUCGGAACAACCAAGGGAAACUUUGGCUAAUACCGAAUACGCCCGUAAGGGGAAAGAUUUAUCGCUGAAAGAUCGGCCCGCGUCUGAUUAGCUAGUUGGUGAGGUAAUGGCUCACCGAGGCGACGAUCAGUAGCUGGUCUGAGAGGAUGAUCAGCAUCACUGGGACUGAGACACGGCCCAGACUCCUACGGGAGGCAGCAGUGGGGAAUAUUGGACAAUGGGCGCAAGCCUGAUCCAGCCAUGCCGCGUGAGUGAUGAAGGCCUUAGGGUUGUAAAGCUCUUUCGUCAGGGAAGAUAAUGACGGUACCUGAAGAAGAAGCCCCGGCUAACUUCGUGCCAGCAGCCGCCGUAAUAC